rnacentral:rRNA from 1 species
ACGAACGCUGGCGGCGUGCUUAACACAUGCAAGUCGAACGGAAAGGCCCUGCUUUUGUGGGGUGCUCGAGUGGCGAACGGGUGAGUAACACGUGAGUAACCUGCCCUUGACUUUGGGAUAACUUCAGGAAACUGGGGCUAAUACCGGAUAGGAGCUCCUGCUGCAUGGUGGGGGUUGGAAAGUUUCGGCGGUUGGGGAUGGACUCGCGGCUUAUCAGCUUGUUGGUGGGGUAGUGGCUUACCAAGGCUCUGACGGGUAGCCGGCCUGAGAGGGUGACCGGCCACAUUGGGACUGAGAUACGGCCCAGACUCCUACGGGAGGCAGCAGUGGGGAAUAUUGCACAAUGGGCGGAAGCCUGAUGCAGCAACGCCGCGUGCGGGAUGACGGCCUUCGGGUUGUAAACCGCUUUCGCCUGUGACGAAGCGUGAGUGACGGUAAUGGGUAAAGAAGCACCGGCUAACUACGUG